rnacentral:rRNA from 1 species
UACGUAGGGGGCGAGCGUUGUCCGGAUUUAUUGGGCGUAAAGAGCGUGUAGGUGGCCAGGUAGGUCUGCUGUGAAAACUCGAGGCUCAACCUCGAGACGUCGGCGGAAACCAUCUGGCUAGAGUCCGGAAGAGGAGAGUGGAAUUCCUGGUGUAGCGGUGAAAUGCGCAGAUAUCAGGAAGAACACCCGUGGCGAAGGCGGCUCUCUGGGACGGUACUGACGCUGAGGAGCGAAAGCCAGGGGAGCAAACGGG